rnacentral:rRNA from 1 species
UUAAGUUAUUAAGGGCGCACGGUGGAUGCCUUGGCACUAGAAGCCGAUGAAGGACGUUACUAACGACGAUAUGCUUUGGGGAGCUGUAAGUAAGCUUUGAUCCAGAGAUUUCCGAAUGGGGAAACCCAGCAUGAGUUAUGUCAUGUUAUCGAUAUGUGAAUACAUAGCAUAUCAGAAGGCACACCCGGAGAACUGAAACAUCUUAGUACCCGGAGGAAGAGAAAGAAAAUUCGAUUCCCUUAGUAGCGGCGAGCGAAACGGGAAGAGCCCAAACCAACAAGCUUGCUUGUUGGGGUUGUAGGACACUCUAUACGGAGUUACAAAGGACGACAUUAGACGAAUCAUCUGGAAAGAUGAAUCAAAGAAGGUAAUAAUCCUGUAGUCGAAAAUGUUGUCUCUCUUGAGUGGAUCCUGAGUACGACGGAGCACGUGAAAUUCCGUCGGAAUCUGGGAGGACCAUCUCCUAAGGCUAAAUACUCUCUAGUGACCGAUAGUGAACCAGUACCGUGAGGGAAAGGUGAAAAGCACCCCGGAAGGGGAGUGAAAUAGAACCUGAAACCGUGUGCUUACAAGUAGUCAGAGCCCGUUAAUGGGUGAUGGCGUGCCUUUUGUAGAAUGAACCGGCGAGUUACGAUUUGAUGCAAGGUUAAGCAGUAAAUGUGGAGCCGUAGCGAAAGCGAGUCUGAAUAGGGCGUUUAGUAUUUGGUCGUAGACCCGAAACCAGGUGAUCUACCCUUGGUCAGGUUGAAGUUCAGGUAACACUGAAUGGAGGACCGAACCGACUUACGUUGAAAAGUGAGCGGAUGAACUGAGGGUAGCGGAGAAAUUCCAAUCGAACCUGGAGAUAGCUGGUUCUCUCCGAAAUAGCUUUAGGGCUAGCCUCAAGUGAUGAUUAUUGGAGGUAGAGCACUGUUUGGACGAGGGGCCCCUCUCGGGUUACCGAAUUCAGACAAACUCCGAAUGCCAAUUAAUUUAACUUGGGAGUCAGAACAUGGGUGAUAAGGUCCGUGUUCGAAAGGGAAACAGCCCAGACCACCAGCUAAGGUCCCAAAAUAUAUGUUAAGUGGAAAAGGAUGUGGCGUUGCCCAGACAACUAGGAUGUUGGCUUAGAAGCAGCCAUCAUUUAAAGAGUGCGUAAUAGCUCACUAGUCGAGUGACACUGCGCCGAAAAUGUACCGGGGCUAAACAUAUUACCGAAGCUGUGGAUUGUCCUUUGGACAAUGGUAGGAGAGCGUUCUAAGGGCGUUGAAGCAUGAUCGUAAGGACAUGUGGAGCGCUUAGAAGUGAGAAUGCCGGUGUGAGUAGCGAAAGACGGGUGAGAAUCCCGUCCACCGAUUGACUAAGGUUUCCAGAGGAAGGCUCGUCCGCUCUGGGUUAGUCGGGUCCUAAGCUGAGGCCGACAGGCGUAGGCGAUGGAUAACAGGUUGAUAUUCCUGUACCACCUAUAAUCGUUUUAAUCGAUGGGGGGACGCAGUAGGAUAGGCGAAGCGUGCGAUUGGAUUGCACGUCUAAGCAGUAAGGCUGAGUAUUAGGCAAAUCCGGUACUCGU